AUUGAACGCUGGCGGCAGGCCUAACACAUGCAAGUCGAACGGUAACAGGAAGAAGCUUGCUUCUUUGCUGACGAGUGGCGGACGGGUGAGUAAUGUCUGGGAAACUGCCUGAUGGAGGGGGAUAACUACUGGAAACGGUAGCUAAUACCGCAUAACGUCGCAAGACCAAAGAGGGGGACCUUCGGGCCUCUUGCCAUCGGAUGUGCCCAGAUGGGAUUAGCUAGUAGGUGGGGUAACGGCUCACCUAGGCGACGAUCCCUAGCUGGUCUGAGAGGAUGACCAGCCACACUGGAACUGAGACACGGUCCAGACUCCUACGGGAGGCAGCAGUGGGGAAUAUUGCACAAAGGGCGCAAGCCUGAUGCAGCCAUGCCGCGUGUAUGAAGAAGGCCUUCGGGUUGUAAAGUACUUUCAGCGGGGAGGAAGGGAGUAAAGUUAAUACCUGUGCUCAUUGACGUUACCCGCAGAAGAAGCACCGGCUAACUCCGUG
rnacentral:rRNA from 1 species